CAGCCAGAGCCGGCGCAGCGGUCGCCGGCCUCCCUGCGGACUCUGACCCUGAGCCGGCGCCGCGGACGCUCUCGGCCCCCAGCCCCCUCCGCUGCCCUCCUCCCGGCCCUCUCCCGCGAAGGUUCCGAGAGUCGCCGACGCUCCCCGCCGGCGGAGCAGGAUCGGGAAGGUCCAUACCUUUCCCUACGGCCCCCGUUUACAGAUCGGUAGACUGAGGGUCAGAACGGCGCGCAGCGUCUGUCAGGCCACCGGGCGGUGGCAGAGCCCAGGGCCCUUACACGCCCUGACCCCAACGUCGCCCGAGAAAAGCAUCUCCCUGUCCUGGGAUGGGCUCACCAGAUGUUCCCCAGAUGUUUGCUGAUGAUGAGAAACAUCUUCCUCUGGGAUCACAACCACAUCGUGUGACUUGUGGGAUCUCACCUCCCUGAGGAAUUGAACCCAGGUGCAGCAGUGAAAGCAUGGAGUCCUAACCACUGGACCACCAGGGAAUUCCCAAGGUUUUGUUUGUUUUAAGCAGGAAUUGAUAUGGGACAUUUCUCAAAUGCCUUUUUUGGCACGUAUUGAGAUGUUACGCAGUUUUCCUUUGAUGUAUUUUUUUUUUUUUUUUCAUAAUAGUGGUUAACACUUAAUAGCCAUUUGUUUUUAUUAUUUUUAUAAUUUUAUUUAUUUUUGGCUAUGCUGGGUCUUUGUUGCUACACAGGC